rnacentral:misc_RNA from 1 species
CGCCUAAUCGUUGAUGAUCUCGAAAUAAGACCGCUAUGGUUUGAUGUGGUGCCUCCAUUUGAACCAGCCCUACUUAUUGUGGGUUGAACAGAAUUGUGCACUUUCUUUUUUCCAAAACAAACUCCAGUCCACAAGCAGUAAAUAAGAGUGCAAAUACCUGCAAAAACUCCUACAGAACCAACAAUGGCAAACGCCAAUAACCCAUU